rnacentral:lncRNA from 1 species
CCGCACUUCCGGACAGGGAGGGGUCACGCGGUGCCGCGCCGCGCCGCUUCCAUCCGGGGCCUCAGAGACGCCACGCCCCUCACCCCCUCCCAACCCCCCCGCGGCGCGGGGCGGGGCGCGAGGCGGCCGUUGGGACGGGGGUGGCGGGAGCGGCGUCCUGGCUGUGUGGAGCGCUGCAGUGAGGGGACGCGGUGCAGCGCACCGGGUUGCAGCAGCCCAAGGGGCCGUGGCGUGAAGCAGGCACCCUGUGACCGUCCCAGGCUUGGAGCUUCCCGGGACUUCUUUUUUUUUUGUCGGUUCGUUUAUUUCCAGUUGAAGUUCACCUGAAAAUGACACUCGAGAAAGUCUGCAGGGGUGGAUCAUUAACAGAAGCUGUGAAGAACGCAUGCAUAUUUGUCAGCAGACAAAAGAACAGGUAGCUGUGUCUCCAAGAAGCGCCAAAGAUCUGUAUGACACAGAAAAUGAAAGCUGAAGUACUUAAAGUCACGCACAGAAAUAACAAAUGAAAGAACUGACAGUCUAUGACAAGAUUCUCUCCAGUGUUCUCCAUAUGCACUCCUACUAUCCAGAAAAAGCUGACUGUCGCUUUUGCCGCUCAGCUAUUAGACUGAUGGCCAGCAGGGUUCUGCUGGCUGGCAGAGCUGCAAUUUUAUACCAGCAUCACUGAUAAUCAACUGUAUUUGAAAGGAGAUAGGUGACUGUGAGAAGAGAACUUGAGCUUUUUGAGAGCGGUGUAUAAUUGCUGGCUUUCAAAACAAUCCUCACAAGAAGAUGACUGUAUUUUUUAACAACUGGCACAGAAGAGUCCUUCCUUCCUGGAAAUCUACCUCUCAAAACAGCUGAGUAAGGAUCUCACAUGAGCUAACAGGUUGAC